GCUGUUUGUCAGCUAUAAAAUAAAAUAAAAUAAAAUAAAACCAAAAUUACCAAGCAUUGGAAAAUAUGACGAAAAUGUGUACAAUACAUUCUGUAUCAAAAUAGACCAUCAGUGAUAGAGGAAGGACUCUAUCAAUUGAUCAGCAGGAACGUGAUUGCUUUGGCACACUCGGUGAGUUUGAGUGUGAGUGAGCUUUUAGAAUUUAGGCAACUUGAUUUCUGUCACCAUAAUCUUGUGUGUUUAAUUAUUAUGAAGUACAGUAACACAUGGGUUGGGUAAACGUUAUUUUGACCAUUGUUGAGGUUGGG